rnacentral:tRNA from 1 species
ACUUUUCUAGUAUAAAAGACUAGUACAAAUGACUUCCAAUCAUUUAAUCUUGGUUAAAGUCCAAGGAAAAGUA